GCUCCAAUGGGUCGCUCAGUGGGUAGAGCCUCGUGCUUUAAACCAUAAGGUCUCCGGUUCGAAUCUCGCCAGUAGCA
rnacentral:tRNA from 1 species